UGAAUCUGUCCCACUGAGCAGCAAGGUUUAAGAGAGCAGUUACACACAGCAUGCUCCCCGUCGGAUUUGUUGUCUCUUCUGACUGACUUCCCAUGCAUGACUACCUUGCACUAAGUACAAGACCAUGCCCACUCCUCGUGCCCCUCGGGUUUGUCAGACCCAGAAUCGCUUUUCCCCUCUGAUGGUAACUGUAGCAGAGAUGAAGGUCAUCUACGCUGGUUUCUCUUUACGGACACGCUGGUCGAGAUGGCAACAGACUUUAUUUUGACUUUCUUGUUCGCUGCAGUCUGCUCCAGCCUCUCUCGCUCCCAGUCCUGCUCACUGCUUAUAUGAAGGGGAGACACUGCGCUUGUUAACUACCGUCACUGUUCCCUGAACCACUCCCCCUCUGCAGCUGAGCUAAAAACACCCCGCCACCACAGUAACUUGUAUCUUUUAAUUUCAGGUUAAUCAUCUGUCUGUAUUAUGG